CACGUCCUGAAGAGAGUGAGACAGCCGGGAGGGAGUGAGACAGCCGGGAGGGAGUGAGACAGCCUGGAGGGAGUGGCACGUCCUGAAGAGAGUGAGACAGCCGGGAGGGAGUGAGACAGCCGGGAGGGAGUGAGACAGCCUGGAGGGAGUGGCACGUCCUGAAGAGAGUGAGACAGCCGGGAGGGAGUGAGACAGCCGGGAGGGAGUGAGACAGCCUGGAGGGAGUGGCACGUCCUGAAAAGAGUGAGACAGCCUGGAGGGAGUGGCACGUCCUGAAGAGAGUGAGACAGCCGGGAGGGAGUGGCACGUCCUGAAGAGAGUGAGACAGCCUGGCGGAAGUGAGACAGCCUGGAGGGAGUGACGCACGCACAGAAGCGGGAUGAGGCCGAACGAGAAGGCCAGAUGGAGAGGAAUGUAAAUGUACUGCCUUUAUGUAGCACUCCAACCUAUUGGACAGUCAAAGCGCUUUACAAUAUUGCCUCUCAUUCACCAUAACACACACAUUCACACACCGACGGCGGAGUCAGACGUGCAAGGCGACAGCCAGCUCGGCGGGAGCAUUUAGGGUUAGGUGCCUUGCUCAAGGACACUCGGCUAGGAGGAGCCGGGGAUCCAACUAGCAACCUUUCAGUUACAAGGCAACUGCUCUACCUCCUGAGCUAAGCCGACCCUGCAUGGAGCUGACGCCGGUUGCACCAACGGGACUUGCGCCUGGUCUUAACUACGCACGGCCUUAGCCAUGUGAAUGGCACCGCGUUGCUAGGAUACCUCGUGCCAACAGGUAUUUACUAUUUUACUUAACAUCCGAUAUGAUGGAGGAAAACCGCAAGAGGAAAGGCAACUUUACUGAUGUUGAAAUAAAAAAUUGAUCGAGUUGUACAGUGACAACUAGACGCUCUGACUGCCAAGCAGUCCAAUGUAAAUACAAACAAAAAAGCAGGAGACAUGGCGAUUUGUAAUGGAGAGCUUGAACAGCUGUUCGGACUCAUCGGGCAGAUGCCGGCAUUAAGAAAAGACCUCCUGUCCCGGGCCAAGAAGGACAUGUCUGCCCCAAAGAACCGGCGGUGGUCCUCCCCCGAAAACGUCACCUUACAGCGACAUUAUUGUCACUAUUUUUGGGGAGGAUUCACCAGCCUUCGUCGGGGUGGACAGCGGCUGUCAUCAACCGCCGGAGCCGUUGGAUGAAGACUUGGCAAGUGCCCAAUCAGCGUUGAGCUUGACCCGACUUCACUGGCAGAGAGACGGAGAGGACAGAACAGAAAUGGAGGAACAAAACCUGAUAGUCGCAGUGUGCAGCCGUCCUGUCCUGUACGACACCACGAUGGUGUCGUACUGAACUCCUCCACCAGGCAGUCCCAUAUAGCCGUCACCCCAUCGGACACGAUGGAAGCCACGGUGGAGGCCCCGACCCGGAAGCUGCUGAUAUAUCAGAGCCGACUCCUGAGAGCAGACGUAUCUGAAGCUGUCAGGGAGGAACCAUGGCUACCAUCUCUGAACCGGACCCUGGACUCUCUGAGGAACCUGGGGACGCGUCUUUGGACCGAAGGGAGCGCAGGAAGAGAGGAUCUGCUGGUAGAGCAAAGAAGAAGGCUAACUUCAGACGCCGUGGAAGCCGUCAGAGAGUAACAA